rnacentral:rRNA from 1 species
GACGAACCGUGCGAACGUUGUUCGGAAUCACUGGGCUUAAAGGGCGCGUAGGCGGGGUGGACAGUCUAUGGUGAAAUCCUCCGGCUCAACCGGAGAACUGCCGUGGAUACUGCCACUCUCGAGGGGUGUAGGGGCAUGCGGAACUUCCGGUGGAGCGGUGAAAUGCGUAGAUAUCGGAAGGAACGCCGGUGGCGAAAGCGGCGUGCUGGACACCUUCUGACGCUGAGGCGCGAAAGCCAGGGGAGCAAACGGG